rnacentral:piRNA from 1 species
UAGUAAGAGGUGGGACAGUAAUGGUCC